rnacentral:lncRNA from 1 species
UUUUGGACAAUAUUCUUGGCAUAUAUUCCCCUCACUCUCUCGGCCUCCAUUAGAGUGAAAAACCCCUCUUUGUGAGCUUCUCUCUCUCGGCCUCUUCUUCCCCCUCUCUCUGUGACCUUUGUGGUUGAUAUAUUGUGGGUAUUUUCUUGGCCUUCUUCUUCCCAAUCCAUAGCAACCGGACCGGUGGCGGCAUAGGGUGGUAUUGGAGUUGUCUCAAGUAAUGGUGUCGAUGUUUUUGGUAAACUGACCCCGGUUUUGCACUGCUUGGCUGUGGAAUUCGG